UAAGACGAAGGACCCAAGCGUUAUCCGGAUUCAUUGGGUUUAAAGGGUGCGUAGGCGGGUUGAUAAGUCAGUGGUGAAAGCCCAACGCUUAACGUUGGAACUGCCAUUGAUACUGUCGAUCUUGAAUGUGUUUGAUGUGGGCGGAAUAUGACAUGUAGCGGUGAAAUGCUUAGAUAUGUCAUAGAACACCGAUUGCGAAGGCAGCUCACAAAACCACUAUUGACGCUGAGGCACGAAAGCGUGGGGAUCAAACAGGAUUAGAUACCCUGGUAGUCCACGCCGUAAACUUUGAUCACUCGCUGUUGGCGAUACACUGUCAGCGGCUAAGCGAAAGCGUUAAGUGAUCCACCUGGGGAGUACGAUCGCAAGAUUGAAACUCAAAUGAAUUGACGG
rnacentral:rRNA from 1 species